CAGGCUGCUGCGCGCGCCGAGGGAGGGCGAAGGGCGUGGGACGGUGAUGAAGGGAGGCACGGAGAGGGGGAAGAUGGCUGCCCAGCAGUGGAGAUGUCAACUAUGCUGAGGUCUGCAUGUGUCCUACAUUGAAGUCUGGCUCCACGACUACAUUUUGCUUCACUGUGAACUUAAUCUUUUCCUGUAUUUUACAACACUGUACGUUGUUGAGGUGCAUAUAUCUACUGGUCUUAAUAUUAAAGCAAUAGUUGAUUAUAAACCCUUCAAACUGACCUCUUGGCAUCUUAUUACUGUUUUAGAUUUGCUUCUACUGCUCAUUUUACAAUGGUUUAUUGCUCAGCUUUGAACUGUCAAAAUGCUACGAGUGGGGUAUAUAAGAACAGUACAGUUACUUUCUAUGGCUUUCCUUUACAUAACAAACCUCUCUUGAAGCAGUGGAUUCACAACAUGGGUCGGGAAAUGGGAACUCCAUCGAAACAUCAGCGACUAUGUUCUAAACAUUUUGAGGACAGUUCUUUUGAAAUUGAUCCUCUAAAAAUUAGGAAAAACCGGCGCCUACUGAAAGAAGCAGUUCCCAAAAAAUUCAUUUUGGGCGAAGAUGGAAACUGGCUUGUUGGAACACCUCAAAGUUUCUGUGGUGGAAUAAGUAAUAAAACUCGAAAACGAAUCCGGAAUCCUGAACAUUUAAAGGUCCCAGGGACAUUUGAUAAUGUUGCAGCUCCUGAAGGGAAGAAUUUAGAAGAGUGGCAAAAAGAGCUUUACAAAAAAGUGAUAAAGGACAAUUAUGAAUCUUUAAUCUCACUGGGUAAAGUCUCCAAACAUGAUAUGCAGUCUAGAGAAGAGCUACGUGUCAAGGCUCAGCGGGGCUUGGAGGAAAGAGAAAUGUCUAUGAAUCCUCGCAUAGGAGCAAUAUGACCUACAAGCAUUGUGUGCAUUAUGGAUCAGGAAUGUUUUAUUCUUAGGAGAUUUCCUUUUCCCAAGCAGAUGAAAUGAAUGAUUGGAUUCUUUUUAUUCCAGUGGAUGAUGGGAUUGAGAUCAAAACUGAAGUGCAGGAUAAUGAGGAAGCUCCAGAAAAUAUGAAACUGCAUGGAUCGUUUUCAGGAAGAUCAGAAGACCUGGUUUUCCAAACUCCUGACAAGGGAAUAACUUGCGAGAGUCAUUGGAGCACAGCAACAGAGCCGUUGAAUCUUUCUGGAAGCAGAAUGGGUAACUCGACUCUUGGGAAAGGAGAUUCCAAUACAUUCAAAGACAUCCUUUUCUACCAGGAGACACCCACAGGAGAGAGACUAUACCUAUGUACAGAAUGUAAGAAAACCUUUAAAUUGAAGAUAGGUCUUUUAAAACACAAGCGAAUUCAUGCAAAAAAGAGUCCUGUAUCAUCAUACAUAUGUACAGACUGUGGAAAAAGCUUUGGUCGCCAUGCAGAUCUUAUUAGACACCAGAGAACUCACACGGGAGAGAGACCCUAUAAAUGUACAGAAUGCGAGAAAAGCUUUACUGAGAAACCAAGACUUACUAAUCACUUACGGACUCACAACAUCUGCCUGUAAUCACUGUGGCAAAAGCUUUAUGGGAACUCAUUUUCUUCUCAGUCACCAACAAAUCCAUCUGAGAAUAUGGACCAUACACAUGUACCAACUAUGGGAAAAGCUUUUGUGUAAGAAGACAUUUUAUAACACUGAAUUGGAUCUGUCAUUGUAGCUCAUCGGUUUAAACCUUGAGAAGCAACUGAAUUUAUUAGCUAUCAAAAUGAUUCAUGCAAGGGGGGAGAACGGACAUAUAAAAGUGUACUGACUAUACCAAAAUUUUUAUUCAAAAAAGCAUAUUCUAAAACACCAACUAACCUAUACUAGAGAGAGACUGUAUCGUUGCAGAAAACAUGGGAGAAGUUUGACAUGAGGAACCUUUGAUCACAUCACCAGAGAAUUUACGGAACAGAGCAAGAUAGAAAUUAGAGCUUCAAAGAGCCUUAGAUCAGUUUAAGAGAUUGGGCUUCUUGAUGUUAAAAACAGGAAAUAAAUGGUAAAGUCCAUUAAGCGCAGUCAAAUGACAGUGAGUGAAAGCACCAACGCAUGUUAGUAGUCCAAAGACAAAAUGUAGUUCAAACUUCCACAGUUUAGAGUAAUUUACAGCACAUGAGAUGCAGGCUUCAUUUUUGAGCUCCUGGAAGAGAAAACAGACAUGGGUAAUGUUCUCCUUUCUGUCGCUUCUGUGCAACAUGAAUGACGAGAGGCAAAAUUUAUGUGGGAUUAUUCUUCUCUCUAAACCAAAAGCAGCACUGGUUCCAAAUUCAGAGGAAGCAUCAGCAGAUGGAGAUAGGGAAAAAAAACAGUGGAGUCAUCUGCUUAAAAACAUAAUCAAACAUAGGUCAGAAAAUCUUACCAAACCCGUGCAUCUUGUUAAAUGCCUUGCUUAAAGGUGGCCUGCAAACAAUUAAAAAACACCUGGUUUUGUGCCCCCCCCCCUUUUUUUUUAAACCUUAUGAUGUGGACUUUCUUGUCUGGGGCGGGUGGGGGGGCAGGGAAGGGGGUAUUAAAAUAAAUCCUCCAAAUUCUAUAGGGAGUUGACUUUAACAUUGCCCAAUUGUGCCUACAUAUGAGCAGUUAGGGAGAACCAAAGAGGGGGGAAAAGAGUAAAAUGUUGUAUUGUAUGAUCAGCUGUACAGUGAAGAGUGCUACAUUGUAGUAUACAUAAUAACAUUUGUUUUCAAUGAAUGAUGCCUGGUAACUAGGGUAGGGAGGUGCCCGGUUUUCGACUAGAAAAUCCAGUCAAAAAGGGGAUCUGACGGCGUCCAGUCCAAUCUACUGACCGUACAACAAGUCCCGUCACUGAGGGCGGGGAGGCGCCUGGUCACUAAUCUGUGCCAGCUCCUAGUCAGCUGGGGCCGCCUCCUACCUGCACUGGGUGGCUGCAGCUCCCAGCCCUGGCUGUGCAGGCGUGUCCCUCCUGACCAGGGCAGAGGGGCAGAAAGGGGAAAAGCAGCA